GGGUUUGAUCCUGGCUCAGAACGAACGUUGGCGGCGUGGAUUAGCAUGCAAGUCGAACGAAUCCCCGGGGGCUUGCUCUCGGGGGGAAGUGGCGAAAGGGGCAGUAAGGCAUGGGUAACUUACCCCGCGGUCAGGAAUAGCCAUUCUAACGAAUGGGUAAUACUUGAUAGUCCGGAAUCGGGACAUCCCGGAGCCGGUAAAGAAUUUCGCCGUGGGAGGGGCUCAUGUAGUAUUAGCUAGUUGGUGGGGUAACGGCCCACCAAGGCUGAGAUGCUUAGCGGGUGUGAGAGCACGACCCGCGCCACUGGCACUGCGACACUGGCCAGACUCCUACGGGAGGCUGCAGUCGAGGAUCUUCCGCAAUGGGCGAAAGCCUGACGGAGCGACGCCGCGUGUGCGAUGAAGGCCUUCGGGUUGUAAAGCACUUUGGUGGGGGAGGAAAGCCGAAAGGUUUGACCGAUCCCAAGAACAAGCUCGGGCUAAGUUCGUGCCAGCAGCCGCGGUAAGACGAACCGAGCGAACGUUGUUCGGAAUCACUGGGCUUAAAGGGCGCGUAGGCGGGUUCCCAAGUCUGUGGUGAAAUCCUCCAGCUUAACUGGAGAACGGCCUCGGAUACUGGGAGCCUCGAGGACGGUAGGGGCGUGCGGAACAGUAGGUGGAGCGGUGAAAUGCGUUGAUAUCUACUGGAACUCCGGUGGCGAAGGCGGCACGCUGGACCGUUACUGACGCUGAGGCGCGAAAGCCAGGGGAGCAAACGGGAUUAGAUACCCCGGUAGUCCUGGCCCUAAACGUUGGGUACUAGAUAGUAGCCUUCACAUGGGGUUACUGUCGCAGCAAAAGUGUUAAGUACCCCGCCUGGGGAGUAUGGUCGCAAGGCUGAAACUCAAAGGAAUUGACGGGGGCUCACACAAGCGGUGGAGCAUGUGGCUUAAUUCGAGACUACGCGAAGAACCUUAUCCUAGGCUUGACAUAUGCGAAAGCGUCUGGUGUAGCCGUUGGAAACUUCGGUGAACCCCGCAAGGGGGGACCAGAUACAGGUGCUGCAUGGCUGUCGUCAGCUCGUGUCGUGAGAUGUCGGGUUAAGUCCCAUAACGAGCGGAACCCUUACCCUUAGUUGCCACCGGCUUCGGCCGAGCACUCUGGGGGGACUGCCGGUGUCAAACCGGAGGAAGGUGGGGAUGACGUCAAGUCCUCAUGGCCUUUAUGCCUAGGGCUGCACACGUGCUACAAUGGCGUGAACAGAGGGACGCAAAAAGCGCGAGCUCAAGCAAAUCCCAAAAAACACGCCCCAGUUCAGAUCGAAGGCUGCAACUCGCCUUCGUGAAGUCGGAAUCGCUAGUAAUCGCAGGUCAGCAACACUGCGGUGAAUGUGUUCCUGAGCCUUGUACACACCGCCCGUCAAGCCACGAAAGGGGGGACUGGCCCAAGUCGCCGUUACAGGCGCCUAAGCCAGGCUCCCUGAUUGGGACU
rnacentral:rRNA from 1 species